UUUGGUAUUCAACGACCGGAAAUACUCGACCGGGGGCGACAGCAAUAUGAAGGUCAGGCUGAAGACCUUACCCGAUUAGCUGAGAGGUGGUGCAUGGCCGUCGUCAGUUCGUACUGUGAAGCAUCCUGUUUAAGUCAGGCAACGAGCGAGACCCACGUCCACAGUUGCCAGCAUACCCUCCGGGGUGAUGGGUACACUGUGGAGACCGCCGCUGCUAAAGCGGAGGAAGGAGUGGGCAACGGUAGGUCAGUAUGCCCCGAAUCUCCCGGGCUACACGCGGGCUACAAUGGUUGGUACAAUGGGCAUCUACCCCGAAAGGGGAAGGAAAUCUCUUAAAGCCAAUCGUAGUUCGGAUUGAGGGCUGCAACUCGCCCUCAUGAAGCUGGAAUCCGUAGUAAUCGCGUUUCAACAGAACGCGGUGAAUACGUCCCUGCUCCUU
rnacentral:rRNA from 1 species